UGGUAGCUCACAAAACACUUUUUCCACUCUCCUAACUUGAAAAAACCCAUCUGAAUUUCAGAAAGAAAAUCAAAAAGAAAAAAAACAAACAGAAAGCAUUUUGGGUACUGUUACAUUGGUGAUUUACUUCAUUUUGAUUGAUUUUCUCCAUAUGGGAUUACUGGUUUGUUCUGGAGCGUUUGGGUUAAAUUAAACUGAGAUUUUAUAGAGUUUUGAUGCGUGUUGAUGUUAUGGAUGUAAUCUGAGUUCGUGUUUGGUAUUAGUGCUAUUUUGGUCAAAUUCUCCUCCUGUUUGGUACCUGGGCUAUUGAUCCGUUUUCUGGCUGAGUUUACUGCUGUGGUUCAAUUGUUUUUGCUGCCUGCUGAUGAUUUUUCUUCUCUUUAUUGUUUCAUCUUUCCAGGUACUUCGCUUGACCUUGACAGCUGUAAUAUAAAUUAUGAAGCAUGGGUUUGAAACUGAAUAUGAAAUGACAUUUUGAUUCGAAAUCUUAAACUGAUUCAUUUUGUAAUAUGUCAGUUAGUUCAAUGUGUAUUUGGAGUUGUUUCAUCGAUCAAGAUUUGGUCCAGAGAAAGGAAUUGCAAUAGUAUUGUAAUAUGUGGGUUGUUUUAGGAUAUAUUUGUUUAUGAAUACUUGAAUUAGUGAUACAGCUGGACGCCUAGCCAUUAUAAAAGGUUCAAUGAUUUUUGCGUUUACUAAAGUGUGCUAUAUCAAUAAGUUGUGACUAAUUAGAUUUAACACUGAUGUUUUAGCUUGGUAUUAAAAUGUUUAGCGUUAAUGUACACAAAUUUGGGCUGUCCUUUUAAUAUUCUCUGAAAAUUUUAAAACCAAGAACUUAGGCAAGGCGUUGGGUUUGGCGUUAGGUUAAUCACUGACCUGUAGUGAAUCGACCACAGGUCUCGGGCCGUUUUGAAGCCGUCGGGUGUCCCAAUUCUUUGGUUGAGUUGUACUGCUAAGUGCAAUUCCUAUUUUUGCCCAAUAACUAAAUUCUCAUAGUUAAGUUUUCCCUUUUGUAGAAAUGCUUAAUUAAACAAAAGUGUAGUCACUUUUUUUUAGGAUUGACAUGUUAAUAUAUGUAGAGACGAGCCUCGUCAAAUAAAAAUAAAUGCGGGGCCCUCAAUAAUGGUUACAUAAAAUUACUUAGAAAUCGGGAGGGUCGUUUAGCGAUUUUCGCGGCCUUCCCCAAAUAAUAUUGUAAUAGAAUCUUUAGACUCGUUUUACUUAAAGUACCUUAUUAAAUUCGGGUGUGCAUUUAUGCAACCCAAAUCCAAAUCUCGAUGAAGUCGAACUUUGUUGAUAACCACAGGUGCCUUGAUGGCGACGAGGUUAGAAACGCGUUUUCAUGACGUUGUCAUUCUUAUAAACAAAUAAUGAUCGAAACGUGGUUCAGAAAUGGAGACAAGCCUCACCGAACAAAAUAAAUGUGGGGCUCUCAGUAAUUGAUUAUUAAAAAUGAUUAGAAUUUGGAAGGGUCGUUUAGUGAAUUUCAACGGCCUUUCCUAAACAAUAUUACGUUAGAACCUUUAAGCACGAUUUAAUUAAAUUUAUCUUCUUAAAUUCGGGGUGCGCAUUGAUGUGACCCAAAUCCAAAUCUCGAUGAAGUCUAAAUGUGUCAAUGACUAUGGGUGCCUUGAUGGAUACGUGGUCAAAGACACGUUUUCAUGACGUCGCAAGUCUUUUAAAAUUAAUAAUGGUGAAAGCGGUUUAUUAAUAAAAAGGCACAUAGGCUAGAAUGUAUUAAAAAUCAGAUAAAAUCAAUACAACAGUUGAGCGACCGUGCUAGAAACACGGAACCCGGGAAUGCCUAACACUUUCUCCCGGGUUAACAGAAUUCCUUAUUCGAUAUUCUGGUUCGCGGACUGUUAACAGAGUCGUAACCUUCCUCGGUUCGGGAUUAAAAUCGGUGACUUGCGACUCUGAAUAAUUAAUAAUAAAUCCCGUCCUCAUUGUCCUUUAAUUGGGAAAAUCCCUUUACGCCCUUUUACGGGGGUGUAUUGUGAAAAAGGAGGUGUGACAGCUCUGGCGACUCUGCUGGGGACAAGAACCCAGAACGUUUUGUUCAGGGUUCAGAAUGCGAGCUUAGAUAAAUUGUUGUAUUAUGUUAUAUCUGACUUUAAUACAUGCUUUGUGCUUAAUAUGCUAACUGUUACCGCUUUGAAAUAAUUUGAACUGUAUAUAAACUUUGCCGACACCCUUCUCUCUCUACCUCCGGUGAUGUGCUUACUGGUUGAGACUCCUUAUUUUGUUAGUGUCAUACCCUGAAAUAAGUAAGAGGCCGGAUAAGUUAUGAAGCCGGACGACCCCGCGGGUCACCUUUAAGUUUCCCCCUCCUCGAUUCGAGCAGUCCGCUCGGGCACACUAUCUAGAACACCGACCCAGAUUUUCAUAGAAUAACUCGGAUCCCUAAUAGGAGCGCUUAUUUGCAUAAUGUUGCAUUUGACUUAGGGGAGUCAACAUAGAGGUUGGGUCCGUCUAGGCCUAGCAACCUGAAAUGAAAAAUACCAUCCUGGUGCAUCCUACUUGUUCUGUGCAUUUAUUUGUUCGAACCUACAUGUUGACCGGUUUUGAAUCUUGGAAUGUCGGAAUGUGAGAAAAAUCAAAAAUAGAGAAAAUGAGAGAAAUAGCCGUUAGGGAGUUAAUAUUUGAAUAAAAUCAAAUGCCCAAGUACUGUCGAAACUAUGAGAAUGUGAGAAAAAUUAAAAAAUAGAGAAAAUGAGAGAAAUAGCCAUUAGGGAGUUAAUAUUUGAAUAAAAUCCAAUGCCCAACUACUGUCGAAACUCUGCCGAAAUUUUGAAAAAAAAAGAAAAAAGAAAAUGUUUUUUAUGUAGUUUGUGUUAUUAAAAGCAAAAGAAAAAAAAAUGAGUCUUUUAGUUUAGGAAAAAUUGUUUGAAAAAUAGAAAAAAUGAUCAUUUUGAUCUGAUUUCAAAAUUAAGAAAACUGAGAAAAGCUUGGAGAAAGUUUUGUUUUAAAAAUUUUAGUUAGUUUAUUUGCCCAAACUACGCUGGUUUGAUUCUCACAAGGUGUGGGAUAUGUAGGCAACCCUCAUCGGGUCCAAACUGUCUUUCGAAAAAUAGCCAAAAUGUCAAAAAAAAAAUCAAUUUGCAUCAUAAAUAAGUUAGGUAACGCUAUUUUAAGAAUAGCUAAAUGCUCCCAAACGGGACCCCGGAAAGUUGACUCCAUAAACGGUCAGCUUUGGUUAUGUUUUGAUUUUUGACCCCCCAAAGCCUUAAAUUUUUCGUCCCUCGAGGUGAUGAAAGGCCGUAUUUACAAUAGCGGGUCAAUUAUUUUAAAUUUAAAAAUAUAAAAAGAGUCAUAGAAGUCGAGUGAUGUUUUUGCAAAAUAGCCGAACGUUCCCAAACGGGACGCCGGAAGGCUGACCUUGCAUAAAUGGCCACUUUUAGUCAUGAUUUGAUUUUUGACCCUCACCGCCUUAAAUUCGCGUCCCCGAGGCGUUGAAAGGCCAUGUUUGCAAUAUCGGAUCUUUUAUUUUAAUUUGAGAAGCAAGAAGAGUCGUAGAAAAGUUGAGCAAGGUCGUUUUGUCAUAAAUAGUCGAAUGUUCCCAAAAGGGGCGCCGGAAGGCUGACUUUGCAAAAAAGGUCAUUUUUGAUAGGUUAACUCGCACAGCCUUUAAAUAUUCGUCCCCGAAGUGCUAAAAGGUCGUGUUUUGAAAAUCGAGAUUUUCUUUGUUUUUAAAAAAAAUCGAAAGAGAAUAUAGAUAGUUUUAUUUUUUUGAGUCCAAUAUAAGUUUUUCUUCUUUCUUAAUCUCCUUAAUAAAUGUGCAUGAUGAGCACAACGGAAAAUGAGCCUUUUUCAAUAAUGACAAAAGUCCCUUUCGAGUUGAAAUUAUGAUGGAACGACUUGGGCAAAGAAGGACAGGAUGAAGUAAACAAAUAUCUGAAGGGUCUCACGGGUUUAUUAGACAUCAAUCCUCGGGGUGAUAUCAUCAGAGCACUCGUUACUUUCAGGGACCCGACACAUAAUGUUUUCUACUUCUCGAAUUUUGAGUUAACUCCAACUUUGGAAGAAAUAGUUGGGUACAUCGGAAAUGCUGAGAUUCCACUAAAAGAACAAUAUCUAGUUGCUCCAAGAACCAUCACAGUGCAGUGGGUUUUAGAUAUGUUUAAGAUACCCAGGGCGGUUCACAAUCCAGACUUGGCGCAGGGUUUCUGCACUCCCCAAUUCAUAUACGAUAGAUACGGCCAUGUGGGAGGGUUCAACAACCCGGAUAUCAGGCUAUGCAGUAAAAAUAACCAAUGGAAGUGGGAUGAGCACAGAAGAGUGGCCUUCAUGAUAACCUUUUUGGGCAUCUUAGUAUUCCCAAGGAAGUAUGGGAAUAUUGAUAUAAAGGUGGCCGGGAUCGUUAGUGCUUUGCUUAGCCAAGAUGGAAGUAGAAAUAACAGGCGGAAGUGGGAUGAGCACAUAAGAGUGGCCUUCAUGAUAACCUUUUUGGGCGUCUUAGUGUUCCCAAAGAAAGAUGGGAAUAUUGAUAUAAAGGUGGCCGGGAUCGUUAGCACUUUGCUUAGCCAAGAUGGAAGUACUCUUGCACCUAUGAUCGUGUCCGACCUAUUUCGAGCUCUUACUGCCUGUAAAGCCGGGGGCACAUCUUAUGACGGGGGGAAUAUGUUGUUACUGAUGUAGAUGAUCGAGCAUAUGUGCCACCGUUCCCAGUUUUUGAGUUAUGGUUCGCCCGAUAAAACUUGUAUUGGAGAGUUUUACACUAGAACUGAUGGGGAUAGUUUGCCUGACCNNNNNNNNNNNNNNNNNNNNNNNNNNNNNNNNNNNNNNNNNNNNNNNNACCUAGUUCAUGAGUUAUGGUUCGCCCGAUAAAACUUGUAUUGGAGUGUUUUACACCAGAACUGAUGGGGUUAGUUUGCCUGAAGGUGUAAAGGCAUUGGUAUCGUACUUCCGGAAGCUCAAGGUCAAUCAAAUAUAGUGGACUUUGGGAUGGUUGCCCGUGGGACAAAUCAUAUACAUGUCAGCUGUCGGGUCACAUAUUCUUCUGAUGGGGCUGAAUAACAUCCAGCCAUACGAUCCUUAUCGGGUUUUCAGACAACUCGGAAGAUAUCAAAUAAUCCCACCAGAGGAGGAUUUGAGCACUCAGGUGAUUGAGAUUAGCCUUGAUGGACAGUUUCCUGAAGCAAGAGUUGCCGAGUGUGGAAUGAAGGCCGAUGCUUACAAGAAGAUACUUGUGUGCUGGAUCGGGCCAGGGGUGAAGUGGCGCCAAAUUACCUAAUGUGGUACAAGAGAGAACUUGAACAUCAGAGGCCAGCUAAAAGACCUCACGUCCAAGAUUUUGUUGAAACAUCACGAGAGCAGUGGGAUUAGUUAAGAAAAUAAGAGAGUUGCCGAGCUGAGAUUAGGAAGUUGAAGCAGCAAGUAGAAAGUUUGAAAUUCUAAAAUAGUGUGAGAAGAAGGUUACCGAGUUGAGAUUGGGAAGCUGAAGAAACAAGUAGAAAGUUUGAAAUUCGAAAACAGUAUGCAAGUCGCUGCGGAUCAAGGUGAAAAGAAUAAAUUGACCCAAGAAAACGCAGAGCUUAAGGCCCAGAUCCAACAAUUGAGAGCAACCGUUGAUAAACAACCGAGGAGUCAAUCAGAUGAAUGAUUGAUAAAAGGGUUAAGAAAUGAGGUUAGGGAGUGCCAGGAUGAGUUAGAAAAAUCUGAGAGUGUCAUGUCAGGGCUCAAAACACGAUGGGCUACAAGAGCAGCGGAGCGUCGCUAAUACUUGAAUCAACUCAAAAGGGACCACGAGAAAGUUGUUGACAAUCUAAAGAGAAAAGUGGCUUCCCUUGAGGGUAAAGAGAUCAGGCAGGCCAGUGAUUUCGAGAUCGAAAGUGGACAGUGUUAUGAUUUGUUGGCCCGAAUGGAGGUAGAGGUGCAACAAUUGCAAAAUCAACACCUACAAGAUUCUCGGGCAUUAAAGACGUGCACCGACCAGAUAGAACGCUUGUAUACAGAAAAGAGGCAAACAAGGGACCGGAUUAGAGCCAUUGCUUGUGAUAUUUUCAGGAGAUGCCGGGUCUGUGAGGAUAUGACCCAUACAACUUUCGUUCAAGCAGUGCGGAUCUAUGUGAAUCGAACAAUGAAUGAUUUAGAUCACCUCGAAUGGGACUUGGGACCUAGGCCCGCGACGAGGCCGAACGAUGCCCCGCGGGCACCUAGAUUUGAUUCAUUAGAGUAUACACAGGUUGUGUCUGUAUCUUUUUCUAUUUCGAGUCUGUUCGACCGUUGUUUUUCAUGUCAAAAUGAGUCUGUAGUUUGAAGUUGGUAUUUGGUCUUAGUUUGUGUCUGUCUUCCUUUCGCAAAAAUGUUUAGUUUGUAAUAAUUUGUGUUAGUAAUGAAAAUUUGAAAAUUCCCAAAAACAAUUACAUAUUAUUUUCGCAUUUAUUUUCACGAACUACGCUUGGUCUGAUUCGUGCGGGGUCACGAUACGUAUACAAUCUCCAUAGGAUUCGACCGUAGUCGUAUACAAAAAGAAAAAGAAAAAAAUGGAGGUAAAAGAAAAGAAAUAAAGAUAAAUGGAAAAACAAAGGCGAGAAUAAAAGAAAAAGAAAGAAAAAGAAGAGCGGAAAAGCAAAGGUAAGAAUAAGAGCGGAAAAAGAGCAAGAGCGGAAAAACAAAGGUAAGAAUAAGAAAAGGGAAAAGAAAGAAAAGAGCGAAAUAGAAUGAGAAAAUGAAACAAAAAAUGAAUGUUGGGAUGAUACAUGUGGGCGAACAAAUGCAUAAUAUAAAUGAUUAAGUGUAUAGGUGCAUUCAUGCCAAUGUGCGGUUAUCAAUCUGUUAAAGCCUAAUCGUUAACGAAGUGGUUGUUUUAAAUGUGUGAGUAUAGGCAGGUGGUUAGUUGAUUGGCAAUUCUAGAAACUUACCAGUACAACACCCGGUCGAAAGAUAAAGAAAUGAAUGGACAGGAUUCGGAUACUAGUAUUGUGGACCCCACGAAAGAGUUCGAGGUGACCGAUGUGGGGGCUAUGAAAGAAGAGAUGAAGAAGUUGAAAGCCCAAAUGGAUGCCAUGCACCAGGCUUGGUCUCAAGGGCACCCAACACCAUUAUACCCCGCCAACCCCUCUUAUAUCCCGCACCUAGUGCAGGCUCAGGAGCCUCCCACUCCCGAAACAUCUCCACCAUUCCAGUAUAAUACCCAAGGGUAUGCCAUUACUUCAUACGCUCCACCAGCUCCACCACCCAAACAAAAUCCUCCUCCACCUACUCCCGAAACAUCUCCACCCUUCCAGUAUAACACCCACGGGUAUGCCACUACUUCAUACGCUCCACCAGCUCCACCACCCAAACAAAAUCCUCCUCCGCUCGUGGCUCCAAUAUUUGUGGCUCCCUCUUCAGCUCCAUUACAAAGGUCAUCUAGUGAACCACUAUUCCAAGCCCAUGACACCAAAUACUACCCUCCUGAACCCACUUUUAAGGCUCCUGAGCCAUAUUCAUAUACCCCUCACUUUAAGAUCCCAGAGGCAGUGGUUAAACCAAUUAAGAAUGCUGAGCAUGAGGACGUGAUUAGAAAGUUCAAAAGCCUGGAGCAAUUCUUCAGGAACAUGCACGGGUUGGGCAGUCAAGUUAGUGUUGGCUAUAAAGAUUUGUACCCUUUCCCUGACGUCUAGUUACCCGCAGGGUUCAAGAUCCCUAAAUUUGACCUGUACGAGGGACACGGCGACCCGGUGGCUCACCUGCGAGGAUUCUGCAGUAAGAUGAGAGGUGCUGGGGGAAAAGAUAAAUUACUGAUAGCCUACUUCGGUCAAAGCCUGAGCGGGUCUGCAUUGAAGUGGCACAAGACAGGACCCUAACCGAUGGUAUACAUGGGAUGAUCUGGCACAGGCGUUCAUUGGCCAUUUUCAAUACAACCUCGAGAUAGUCCCUGAUCGUCUGUCAUUGUUGAAAUUUGAGAAGAAGCCAGGAGAAAGCUUUAGAGAAUUUGGUUUCCGAUGGAGGAAACAAGCAGCCAGAGUCGAUCCCCCAAUUAGGGAAAACGAGAUGGUAUAGUACUUUCUGCAAACGUUGGAGCCGACAUACUUCGGUCAUCUAGUGAUGUCUGUGGGUAAAUCAUUCAAUGAAGUAGUAAAGAUGGGCGUCAUCAUUGAAGAGGGUUUAAAGUCUAACAAAAUCUUGAGUUAUUCAGCACUGAAAGCAACCACGCAGGCCAUACAAAAUGGUACUGGUGGUGUGCUGGGAAAGAAGAAAAAGGCAGAAGUGGCCACAACAGAAGCUAGCACCUGGUCCAGGCCCAGCAAUCCUCCACCCUACUAUAGCCAACCCAGACCCCACCACCCAAACUACCUAUAUACACCAUACGAUGCACCACAACAUUACUACCCACCACCAGAACCACACUUCUCUGUCCAUCAUGCCCAUACAUACACUCAGCCUCCGGCGCACUCGGAAUGGCGUGCACCGAUUCCCCAAAACACAUAUACACCUCCACAAAACACCCAUCCACACUCCUCAUACGACCCACCACAUCAUUACUACCCACCACAAAAACCACACUUCUUUGUCCACCAUGCCCAGACAUACACAGCCUCCGCCGCACCUGCAAUGGCGUGCACCGGUUCCCCAAGACAUAUAUACACCUCCACAAAACAGCCAUCCACACCCCAGGGCUAACAGACCACGACCUUGCUUUCGCCCGAACCAAAAUUUUCGGAAUGAGAGGGGCCCAAACAGAAGAAAUUUUACCCCAUUGGGAGAAUCUUACACUGUUUUAUUCCAUAGACUGAAACAGUUGGGAAUGUUAACCCCAAUCGAGCCAAAAGUACCAAACCCACCUCCCAGAAACCUGGGCCAAUCCGUUAGCUGUGAGUAUUGCUAUGGAAUGCCGGGGCAUGAAACUAAAAAAUGUUGGAAGUUGAAGAGUGCGGUGCAGGAGCUUAUUGACAAUCGCCGUAUUGAAGUACAAGCCCCGGAGGCAUCAAACAUCAAUUAGAAAUCGCUGCCAGCAUAUCACGAGACUAACAUGAUUGAGUUGGUGCAUAAGGGUGGAGAGGUGAAGAAACCCUCACAAACCGUGAUGAUGAUUCGUGCUAUUGAGACCAGUUCAAAAGAGAAUCUGACUGGGGGACAUGCAGGGAUGAAGUUGAAAGGUACAAGUGACAAGCCAGUGGCAGUGAUGGGGAAAUCAUUUUCUGUUGUUUUAGAGAUUGACUGGGGUACAGGCAGGGGUGAAGUUGAACGGUACAAGUGACAAGCCAAUGGUAGUGAUGUGGAAAGAAUCAUAUGUUGUUGCAAAGAAGCCGGAACCAGUCAAGUUGGUGGUACCAUGGGCAUCGUCUGCACCCGUAGUUGUUGUGAAAGGUGCUUACAUAGAGCCACUGAUCAUCAAGCUGGUAGUCCAGUUAUCUGCGAUUGAUAGCAAAGUCGUGCCAUGGAAAUAUGAGAAGGUGAUUGUAACAUACAAGGAAAAGAAAUUGAGGAAGAGAGUUGUGAAGCGCAAGGGUUGACUCGAUCGGGGCGUUUCUUCGCUCCCGAGGAGUUGAGAAAGGCUAGGGCUACUAAAGACUGUCCACUAAUGGUCAAGAAGAUCGUUACGGAGGAGGAAGCGGAUGAGUUUCUAAGAAAAAUGAAGGUACAGGACUAUUCCAUUGUCGAGCAACUGAGAAAAACACCGGCCCAGAUCUCGUUGUUGUCAUUGUUGAUCCACUAUGAUGAUCAUCGCUGAGCUUUAAUGAAGAUAUUAAAUGAAGCUCAUGUGCCUGAUAAGACUUCAGUGAACCACUUGGAGACAAUUGCUAAUAAGAUCUUUGAGGUAAAUAGGAUAUCGUUUUCGGAUGAUGAGUUGCCCGUGGAAGGAAUAGAGCAUAAUAAAGCCCUUUACUUGACAGUCAAAUGUGAAGAUUCAGUGGUGACCAGGGCAUUGAUAGAUAAUGGGUCUAGUGCCAAUAUUUGCCUGAUGCCUACACUAAACAAGCUAAAGAUCGUAAUGACAAAAUCUGCAGGAACAAUGUACGUGUCCGAGGGUUUGACGUAGGUGGAACAGACACGGUGGGGGACAUUAUCCUCGAGUAGACCAUCGGCCCAGUUGAUUUUACUAUGGAAUUCCAGGUGUUGGACGCUGCAGUAUCAUACAAUCUUUUGUUGGGACGACCAUGGAUCCAUGCAGCUAAAGCAGUGCCCUCCUCACUACAUCAAAUGGUCAAAUUUGAAUGGGACAAGCAAGAGGUGGUGCUACAUGGAGAAGACCCCACAAGCACUGGAGGUGAUGCUAUUGUGCCCUUUAUAGAAACUGAUGACGAUAAGGGGCCAUGGGUCUAUCAGGUUUUUGGCACGAUCACCGUGAACAAGGUACCAGAGGGUAAAAGUAUUCCACUUCCCCUGGUAGAAUCUGCAACCGUCAUGGUGGUUUAUCACGGUGAACAAGGUACCAGAGGGUAAAAGCAUUCCACUUCCCCGGUUAGCAGCUGCAACCAUCAUGGUGGUUACAGAAAUGAUGGGUAAUGUGUUCGUGCCAGGAAAAGGUCUGGGUUCUAAGCUUCAGGGCAUUGUUCAACUUGCCUAAGAAUUUAGACACCUUCGAGCUGGGGUUCAAGCCAACAACAAUAGAUAUCAGAAGGGCUCGUAAGUUGAAAAAGAAAGCUUGGGUUCUCCCCAAACCAAUUCCACGUCUGUCCAAGUCCUUCGCUAGGCCGAGGGCUAAAAAGUAGUUAGCAACACAGGCGACGGGUUCAUUAAUUGGUGCAAAGGGGAAUUUGGACGAAGUGUUUGAAAGGGUAUUUGCAGAAGUAAACAUGGUUGAGGCUGGUGAAGGUUCCAGUAAUGCAGGCAUUCAGCACAUUGGGCCACAUGCUAGGAUGAAUAAUUGGAAAGCCACUCCUCUGCCAGUUCGGAGGGAGUCGUGGUAGUGGGACUCUAUUUUUCUUUUUUAUUUUCACCUGGAUUAUUCCAGGGUUUGUAAUGAUUGUGACUAUGUUCCGUCCAUUUAGAUGAGCUAAGCCAUGUUAUCUUUACAUUUUAAUGAAAUGCAAUUUUCUUUCCUUCUUCUUUCCUAAUUUUGUUUUCAUUUUUCUUUUCUGUACAGUUCUUUUUAUGCUGAUAUCAAUGACAUGACAUGCAUGAGGACUUCUCGGCCCAUUUUUAUAAGCCAACCUAACUCAGAAAUAAUAAUACAAGAAAUUGAAUGUGAUGAUGAAGAGGAAUAUGAUGAUGAUGAUGAUGAAGCCUCUGAGGAAAUUAGUAAGGAAUUAAAACACUUUGAGGAAAAACCCAAACCGAACUUAAAUGACACAGAAACAAUUAACCUAGAGGACCAAGAUAAUGUCCGUGAAACUAAUAUAAGUGUUCAUCUGGAGCCGCAGCUCAAGGAAGAAAUAAUCGCGGCACUAUUGGAAUAUAAAGACGUUUUUGCUUGGUCCUAUGAUGAUAUGCCGGGACUGAGUAUCGAUUUGGUGGCUCACAAAUUGCCUACCGAUCCAUCACUCCCACCUGUUGAGCACAAACUGAGAAAGUUCAAAACAUACAUAAGUGUGAAGAUUAAAAAAGAGAUUACUAAGCAGUUUGAUGCAAAGGUCAUUCGGGUUACACGGUAUCCCACCUGGUUAGCUAAUGUUGUGCCUGUGCCAAAGAAAGAUGGCAAAACCAGGGUGUGCGUUAAUUAUCGAAAUCUCAACAAGGCGUGUCCAAAAGACAACUUUCUAUUGCCAAACAUCCACAUAUUGAUCGACAAUUGUGCCAAACAUGAGAUUGGUUCUUUUGUGGAUUGUUAUGCGGGUUAUUAUCAGAUCUAAAUGGACGAGGAAGAUGCAGAAAAGACGGCAUUCAUCACACCGUGGGGAACAUAUUGCUAUGGGGUCAUUCCAUUCGGUUUGAAAAAUGCCGGGGCAACUUACAUGAGGGUUAUGACAACGAUCUUCCAUGAUAUGAUACAUAAAGAGAUUGAGGUGUACGUAGAUGAUCUGAUUGUGAAAUCGAGGAAGCAGUCUGACCACGUCAGGGAUUUGAGGAAAUUAUUUCAAAGGCUUCGCAUGUACAACCUCCAACUCAAUCCUGGGCGAAGUGUGCUUUUUGUGUGCCAUCUGGAAAUUUGCUAGGGUUUGUAGUCAAUCGCCGGGGUAUUGAAUUGGAUCCAUCGAAGAUUAAGGCCAUUCAGGAAUUGCCGCCCUCCGAGAAACAAAACUGAUGUGAUGAGUUUGUUGGGAAGGUUGAACUACUAUAGCAAUUUUAUUGAUCAGCUCACCACUACUUGUGAACCCAUUUUCAAACUGCUAAAGAAAGAUGAUGCGGUUAAAUGGAUGGAUGUCAGAAAGCUUUUGAUAAGAUAAACGGAUAUUUGUUGAAUCCGCCCGUGUUGGUUCCGCCAGAACUAGGGAGGCCUUUGAUUCUGUAUCUGAUAGUCUUGGAUAAUUCGUUUGACUGUGUACUGGGGUAGCAUGAUGUCACAGGCAGGAAGGAGCAGGCGAUCUACUAUCUCAGCUAGAAUUUCACGUCUUACGAGGUUAAGUACACUCAUCUGGAGAGGACGUGUUGCGCCCUAACUUGGGCGGCGCAAAAAUUGAAACAUUAUUUGUCGUCCUACACUACUUACCUCAUAUCUCGGUUAGAUCCACUAAAGUAUAUUUUCCAGAAGCCUAUGCCCACGGGAAGGCUUGCAAAGUGGCAGAUUUUGCUUACAGAGUUUGAUAUUAUCUAUGUGAUCCGGACUGCAAUGAAAGCGCAGGCUUUAGCUGAUCACUUGGCUGAGAAUCCAAUUGAUGACGAUUAUGAGCCUUUAAAAACUUACUUCCCUGAUGAAGAGGUAAUGCAUAUUGAUGAGUUGGAGCAGGUAGAGAAACCAGGAUGGAAACUGUUCUUUGAUGGAGCGGCAAAUAUGAAAGGCGUGGGAAUAGGAGCCGUACUUAUUUCUGAAACAGGUAAAGAAACCAGGAUGGAAACUGUUCUUUGAUGGAGCGGCAAAUAUGAAAGGCGUGGGAAUAUGAGCCGUACUUAUUUCUGAAACAGGUCAGCACUAUCCUUUUACGGCUCAGCUUCGUUUUUAUUGUACGAACAACAUGGCGAAAUAUGAAGCAUGUAUUCUGGGACUGAGGUUGGCUCUAGAUAUGGGAGCCGUACUUAUUUCUGAAACAGGUGAGCACUAUCCUGUUACGGCUCAGCUUCAUUUUUAUUGUACGAACAACAUGGCGGAAUAUGAAGCAUGUAUUCUGGGACUGAGAUUGGCUCUAGAUAUGGGUGUCCAGGAAGUCUUAGUCAUGGGUGACUCGGACCUACUGGUACACCAAAUUCAAGGAGAAUGGAAAAGCGGUAUUUGAAAUUGAUACCAUACCGAUAUUGUUUGCAUGAGCUUUGUCAACGGUUUCAGUCAGUUGGCUCUAGAUCAUGGGUGACUCGGACCUACUGGUACACCAAAUUCAAGGAGAAUUGGGAACACGGAAUUUGAAGUUGAUACCGUACCGACAGUGUUUGCACGAGCUCUGUCAACGGUUUUAGUCGAUAGAGUUCAGGCAUAUCCCGAGGGUCCAUAAUGAGGUUGCCGACGCUUUGGCUACUUUGGCGUCGAUGUUGCACCAUCUAGAUAAGCCUUACGUGGACCCAUUGCAUAUUUAGGUCUACGAUCAGAAUGCUUAUUGCAAUAUGAUAUAAGAGGAGCUUGACGGUGAGCGUGGUUUCAUGACAUAAUAGAAUAUAUCAGGAUGGGAGUAUAUCCGGCACAGGCCACCAGAGAUCAGAAAGUAACUAUUCGUCGAUUGGCAAGUGGGUUUUUCCUGAGUGGAGGAGUACUGUACAAAAGAACACCAGAUCUCGGACUAUUGAGGUGCAUGGAUGCGAGGCAAGCCACGGCUAUCAUGACUACGGUACAUUCUAGAGUCCGUGGACCGCACAUGAACGGAUAUGUUUUGGCAAAGAAGAUCUUAUGGGUAGGGUAUUAUUGGCUUACUAUGGAGCGAGAUUGUAUCAUUUUGUACGCAAAUGUCAUCAGUGCCAAUUGCAUGGAGUUUUGAUUCAUUCUCCACCGUCAGAAUUGCAUACGAUGUCAGUGCCAUGGCCUUUUGUGGCUUGGAGCAUGGAUGUUAUUGGGCCGAUUGAUCCAGCGGCAUUAAAUGGGCAUAGGUUUAUUCUGGUAGCAAUAGAUUAUUUUACCAAGUGGGUGGAAGUGAAGACAUUCAAGUCUUUGACUAAGAAAGCCGUGGUGGAUUUUGUGCAUGCGAACAUUGUUUGUCGGUUUGGUAUACCAAAGGUGAUUAUCACAGACAAUGGGGAUAAUCUCAACAGUCAUUUGAUGAAGGAAACAAAUGAGCAGUUCAAGAUUACUCAUCGUUAUUCUACUCCAUACCGCCCUAAAGCAAAUGAAGCAGUUGAAGCGGCCAACAAGAACAUAAAGAAAAUACUACGAAAAAUGGUUGAAGGGUCUAGACAGUGGCAUGAGAAGUUUCCUUUUGCAUUGUUGGGAUAUCGCACCACCAUUUGUACUUCGGUGGGGAUUCAAUAUUACUCACCGUCAUUCUACUCCAUAUCGCCCUAAAGCAAAUGGUGCGGUUGAAGCAGACAACAAGAAUAUCAAGAAAAUACUGCGGAAGAUGGUUGACGGGUCUAGACAGUGGCAUGAGAAGUUGCCUUUUUCAUUGUUGGGAUAUUACACCACCGUUCGUACUUCGGUGGGAGCGACUCCUUAUUCACUGGUGUAUGGCACCGAGGCAGUAAUGCCCGCAGAAGUGGAUAUCCCAUCACUUCGAAUCAUUGCGGAGGCUGAAAUCGACGAUGAUGAAUGGGUAAAGACCAGUAUGGAACAAUUGAGUUUGAUUGAUGAGAAAAGGUUGGCAUCAGUUUGCCAUGGUACCAGCGAAGGAUGCCAAAAGUGUACAACAUGAAAGUACGUCUGAGGAAGUUCGAGGUCGGACAGUUGGUGUUGAGGCAUAUUUUGCCCCAUUGGGCCGAAAAUAAAGGAAAGUUUGCCCCAAACUGGCAAGGGCCAUUUGUAGUAACCAGAGUGUUGUCUAAUGGCGCACUAUAUUUGACAGAUAUAGAAGGAAAAUGUGUAGAAAUGGCCAUCAAUUCCGAUGCGGUCAAGAAAUAUUAUGUAUGAUUUGUCUGAAUGUACUUGCUCGUAUUUGGCAGAUUUUAAAGAUUGAAAUGAAGAAGGCAUUUCGUUCUGCUACCAAACACAUUUAUCCCUUGUCAUCCCCUUUGAGCCUUACUUAUUUUCGUUCAUACCCCUAUUUUGGAAUCAACGGCACAAUAAAAAACGCAGGUGCCAAACAUAAAGAUAAAUGGAAGAAAAGAAAGGAAAAAGAAAAUAAACGAAAGGAAGAAAAAGAAAAGAUAAAAGAAGAAAAGGAAAGAAAAGAAAAGAAGAGAAAGGAAAAAUGAAAAGCCAGAAAGAAAAGAAAAGAAAACAAAGGAAGAGAAAAAAAUAAUCACAACAAAAGUAAUUAUGAUAACGUGAACUACGUUUGACUUGAUCCCGAAAGAUACGUAGGCAGCCUUCCUCUGAGGUUCAGCCAUACCAAAAUAAAAUUCCAAAAGUCCCCAAGCAAGAAACUGGGGUAGAAGUUGUGAUUGUUGUGAGAGAUUAGAUUCCGAAAGUUGUUAUUUAACCCAUUUUGAAAUUGUUUUGAGCCUUUUUAUACCUUUAUUUCUAAACCAUCCAAAAGCCUACAUUACAGUCCAAAGAAAGACCUCAUGAUCAAAUUUUGAGAAAUGCCAAGUCGAGCAGGAAAAUGUGAAUCACUACAGGGGCAACACUUUGGUCCAAGCAAGAAAGUAAAAGAAAAAAAUGAGAGAGUCUUAUUGGUGAAAACCCUCACGGGAACCGUAAGGCGAUGUGAGGUGAGAGAAAAUAAAAAUGAGAGAGUCUUAGCGGUGAAAACCCUUACGGACACCCUAGGGCGAAAGUAAGAGGAGAAAUGGCAAGCUGAGAAAGUCUGUUGGUGAAAACUGUUUCGUGGCAUCGCAUGUUAAAUGAGGUUAAGGUUUGGGUAAUGUAAUCAAGUGAUUUAAGUUCUGGGCAAUAAAGUAUGGCAAUCGAGAGAUAGGUUGGGCCGGUUAGUCUGAAAUGCAUGUCAUGAUCAUUGGUGCCAGCUGUCCCGGCCAAACAAGGUUCUUUUCUUUUUUCCUUUUCAACAGUCAUCUGAUUUUGGAUUCUUCGUAUCCUUAACUCAUAAAAUUAUUGCAUUUCAUUCUCUUUUGGGGUUUUGUUUGUCUAAAAUGUUCCAGUGUCAGUUUUGUUCAAUGCAAAGGGGAAAGGAUUUCAAAGCCCACUGUCGACUUCCAAAAAUGGUAAAGCAUAAUGUGGCCAGAGAAUGCCAACAACAAUGUGAUGUAAAGUGAAGUAGGGGAAGUCGCCGGAAGUUUCAUCGGCAGAAUAUUUGGGAAAUAGUGGGAAAUGUGAAGGUUUAGGAAAAAAGGGUCAGAAUAGCGAAACAACGGUACAAGUACAAAAGCACUCAGUUGCAAGAAAUUAGGGAAGAUGAAAGUCGGUCAGAAAGUCAGGCAGUUCAGAGGAAGUCAGAAAACACAAAGCAAGGCAAUGGAAGGAUGAUGCAGCAAGAAUGCCAUCAACUAUCCACCAUUUUUAAACUAACAAAUUUUUGGUGAUUGAAUUAGGGGCAGAAAAAUCAUUUGUCAAGAGAAGCAGGAGAGAAAAGCAGGCAGUAAUCAAGUUUAAUCGCAAGUGUGGCAUGGUAAUGAGGAGUAGCAUAAGGAGAUGUUGAAAUCAGGAGCCUCCUAAAAAACAGAGGAAUACAUCUCGGUCUUUGACUUUUAAAGUUACAAUUUCAGUCUUGUCGCAAUGAAAGUUUUAGUUUUUAAUCCUUAUUAGUAUGUGGUAACAAGCCUCAGUUUUCCCAAAUUGGGGCAGCAGGUUUUUGUUGUUUUGUCUAUUUUUGUGAAGUCAGGAGCCCGCCUGGAGAAUAGAGGAAUACAUUGCAAGUUUUAGUAGUCAGGAGCCCGCCUAAAGAAUAGAGGAAUACAAUUCAGUUAGCAAUCAGGAGCCCGCCUGGAUGACAGAGGAAUACAUGCAUUUACAAUUCAAAAAUUAUGAACCCGCCUGAAGAAUAGAGGUGGUACCAUUCAAGUUGUUAGUUUUUAAAUCAAAUCCCUUCAUUUAUGAUGGUGAUCAGGUGCCCGCCUGGAGAACAUAGGUCCGCAUUUCAAAUUUCAGAAGUCAGGAGUCUGCUUGGAGAGCAGAGACAUACAUUUCAAUCAAGAGUUUGCCUGGAGAAUAGAGACAUGCAUUUAGAACUUUUAAAGUCAGAAGUCCGCCUGGAGAACAGAGACGUACAUGUCAAGUUUGAAGUUAGGAGUCCGCCUGGAGAACAGAGAAAUAUAUUUCAAGUCUGAAGUCAGGAGUCCGCCUGGAGAACAGAGACAUAAAUUUCAAGUUAGCAGUCAGGAGUCCACCUGGAGAACGGAGACAUACAUUUCAAGUUAGCAGUCAGGAACCCGCCUGAAAAACAUGGGUGAUUUAAUUCAAAUUUUUAGUUUCCAAUAAAUAUCCUCGUCUAUUUUGAAGUCAGGAGUCCUCCUGGAGAACAGAGACAUACAAUUCAAAAAUUAGUAGUCAGGAGCCCGCCUGGAGAAUGGAGGUGUUAAAUUUUAGGUUAUAUUUGAAAUUGGGAGCCCGCCUGGAGAAUGGAGGUGUUAGAUUUUAAGUAUAGUCACAGUCAAGAGCCCGCCUGGAGAACAGAGGUAUACAAUUCAAGUUUAAGAAAUCAGGAUCCCACCUGUACAACAGAGAUAUUUCAAAUCAAGUUUAAUUCAAUUUCUAUUAAUAUCCAGUAACACGUACCCAGUUUCCAAACUGGGGCAGAAUGUUUUCUUUGUUUUGACUAUUUUUGUAAAGUCAGGAGCCCACCUGGAUAACAGAGGAAUACAUUCAAGUUCAAGUUUAUUCAAGUUCAGCAAGGUGGAGAGAAAGAACAUCUCAGUUAGCAAGUUGAAGUAACAACAAUAGAUUUUACCAAGGAAACACAAGACAACAAGGAAGUACAAUAUGCAAGUUUGAAGAUUGUAGAUAAGAUUUUUGUAAUGAGUAGUUUAUAGCUUAGGCUAGCUUCUUUUAUUUUUGAUUGAUGUAAUAAGGAAGGUCAGCAGGCAGUAGCAGCAGCGGCAAUUGCAGUGAAAUCACAGCUACUGAUAGUCCCAGCUACCAGACAUUCCCGAACUACACUGACCUGAUUCCUGUUUAGCCCAGGAUAUGUAGGCAACCUCUGAAGCAGGGUGCGGUCAAACUUUUCAAAAAUGCUUCAUACGAAAUUUUCAAAUGGGUAAAAAUCACUCAUAUUUGCUCACUUGUCUUUGCACGAAAACUGUUUGUGUUUCCGAGCAAUGAGGGCAGCUGUGAGCACAUGAUUUUUGCCAUAUAUAUGAAUAAUUCCCAAAAAUAUCCAAACAAAAUGACUUUUCCUUAUUUUUACAAUUUUUUUGAAUUUUUAUAUUAUUUUUUGUUAUUUGUUUGCAUUUUAUUUGCGCAUGUUAAUUCAUAUGAAAAUACAAAAAUAUGCAUUUGCAUUUAGGACAUAAUUUCAUAUUUUUAGGAUCAAUUUGGGGUUAGUUAAUCUUAGAAAAUGCAUGAAAAAUCACAAAUAUAUUUCAUUUUUGCAUCUUUAUUAGUUUGAUUAUGAAAUUGUCGCAAAAUAGUUUUUAAAGUAAUUUUAGGUAUUAAUUAGUUUAGUUUGAUUUUUUAUGUUAUUUCUGCAAUCUUUUAAAUCUACAAAAAUUAUAAAAAUUACAAAAAGGGAAAAUUAAAAUAAAGAGAAACUAAUUGAAAUGAAAAGCAAAAACAAAGAAGGGAUCUUCAAUUAAAAAAAACAAUUUGGGCUGAUCAAGUUUAAUUCCCCAUCCCCAAAACCUAAUCCGGCCCACACUCAAUCCCCAAUACCCGGCCGGACCACCCUAUUAACCAAACGACGUCGUUUUGUCGUCUCUCAAUCUUGGCCGUCGAGGUUCAUCAGAUCAAGCGGCCAUGAACUAAAACCCAUUUAUUAUAUAACUGUCCUAACCGACCCCCUACCCCCAUCGUCUCCCUCACUCCCCAUCUUCAGAAACCCUAGCCCAGCCGUCCUGAAAUUCCUUCGCCGUCAAUGGCGACGCCGGGGUCCAAACCCAACAAACACCGUUAGCUCUCCUCACUAUCCUCUUCCCAACCUUGCCUCCAUCCUACUUCAAAUCUAAGAACAACCCUUCAAAGUUUAGUUUAAAGUUCUGAUUCGAAACUCUAGUUCCUCCAAACGCACCCAAAUCAAUACCAUACAAUCUCCUUAACAUCCUUUACCCAAAUCUCAACCCAAAACCCUACAAAUCCGUUUUCAAAUCAUCAUGUCUGAGAUCUAGGUUUUCAGCUACACCUGUUCUCAUGCGGUUCCAGACAAUGUUACGCGUUUGUUGUGUCAAAAUGAACGCAUGAUAUUAUCUAGAGCCGUAUCGGAAGUCAAUCAGGUAGAUAUGAAAUCCAAGUUCAAGAGCCUGGAGUAAAGUUCAAUUGGUGAGUUAUUCGUUCUGUCCAUUUUCGUCUUCUCUUUCUCGUGUUAGUUUGAGUUAAAGUCCGUUGAUUCCAAGAUCACUUUUUGAGAAUUGUUCUUCGUUCUUUUGGGGAUGUUUGUUCGAUAUAGGUUUUAGGGUUAAUUUGUCAUCUGUUAAAUUGUUAGUUGGAUUAGUAUAGUUAACAUAGUGAUUAGUACUUUGCUUGCAGUUUUUUGUCGAUCCAAUAUUUGAUUAUCAACUUAUUUUCUUUUGAUCUAUUUUAAUCUUGUAUAAAUUGUUUGGUUCUCGUUUAAUUGGAUUAUUAUUUUGUUAGUUUACGCUUAGUUUAAUGGUUCUUCCGUAUUCAUUGGUAGUUUAAUUAAGCUUAAGCUUUGGAUAUAGCUGAGUAGUGUAGUUGAACAAACCUUGGUUAAAGUUUAACUAAGGCAAAAGAGGUUUGGUCAGGUCAGUAAUUUUUAGGAGUUUUCAAGGGUAGUUUAGGCAUAGAAAAGGGUAGUUCUGAUAAGAAUAGUAAUUUCAGAAUAUAAGAAAGGGUAACUUAGGAAUUGUAUAACCAAAAGAGCAUCCUAGAUGCUUCUAGAUUGGGAUGAAACUGUAGCUUUCAGUUUUUGGUAGUACUUACUUGGCUAGCAAGAUAAAAUUAUAGGUUUUAAAUAAAAAGGGGAAUAGGGACUGAUGUGCAAACCCUUUGACUGAAAUUUUCUUUCUUCUUGGCCUAUUUAAAUGCAUCAAUUACCUUGUGAAAGGGCGUUCUUCUUCAGCCAUUUUUGGUAGCUCACAAAACACUUUUUCCACUCUCCUAACUUGAAGAAAACCAUCUGAAUUUCAGAAAGAAAAUCAAAAAGAAAAAAAACAAACAGAAAGCAUUUUGGGUACUGUUACAUUGGUGAUUUACUUUAUUUUGAUCGAUUUUCUCCAUCUGGGAUUACUAGUUUGUUCUUGAGCGUUUGGGUUGAAUUAAACUGAGAUUUUAUAGAGUUUUGAUGCGUGUUGAUGUUAUGGAUGUCAUCUGAGUUCGUGUUUGGUAUUAGUGCUAUUUUGGUCAAAUUCUCCUCCUGUUUGGUACCUGGGCUAUUGAUCCAUUUUCUGGGCUGAGUUUACUCUGUAGUUCAAUUAUUUAUGCUGUCUGCUGCUGAUUUUUCUUCUCUUCAUUGCUGCUGCUGAUAUAAACUGUGAAGCAUGGGUUUGAAACUGAAUAUGAAAUGACAUUUUGAUUCGAAAUCUUAAACUGAUUCAUUUUGUAAUCUGUCAGUUAGUUCAAUGUGUAUUUGAAGUUGUUUCAUCGAGCAAGAUUUGGUCCAGAGAAAGGAAUUGCAAUAGUAUUGUAAUAUGUGGGUU
rnacentral:lncRNA from 1 species